rnacentral:rRNA from 1 species
GACGAAGGAUGCAAGCGUUAUCCGGAUUCAUUGGGUUUAAAGGGAGCGUAGGCGGUCUUGUAAGUCAGUGGUGAAAUCUCUUCGCUUAACGAAGAAACUGCCAUUGAUACUGCAGGACUUGAGUACAGAUGCUGUGGGCGGAAUAUGACAUGUAGUGGUGAAAUGCGCAGAUAUCAGGAGGAACACCGGUGGCGAAGGCGGGUCUCUGGGCCAUAACUGACGCUGAGGAGCGAAAGCGUGGGGAGCGAACAGG